rnacentral:rRNA from 1 species
UGGGGAAUAUUGCACAAUGGGCGCAAGCCUGAUGCAGCCAUGCCGCGUGUAUGAAGAAGGCCUUCGGGUUGUAAAGUACUUUCAGCGAGGAGGAAGGCGUUGUGGUUAAUAACCGCAGCGAUUGACGUUACUCGCAGAAGAAGCACCGGCUAACUCCGUGCCAGCAGCCGCGGUAAUACGGAGGGUGCAAGCGUUAAUCGGAAUUACUGGGCGUAAAGCGCACGCAGGCGGUCUGUCAAGUCGGAUGUGAAAUCCCCGGGCUCAACCUGGGAACUGCAUCCGAAACUGGCAGGCUAGAGUCUUGUAGAGGGGGGUAGAAUUCCAGGUGUAGCGGUGAAAUGCGUAGAGAUCUGGAGGAAUACCUGUGGCGAAGGCGGCCCCCUGGACAAAGACUGACGCUCAGGUGCGAAAGCGUGGGGAGCAAACA